ACUAAUCAUAACCAAAUAUUCAAUCACAAAUUUUGCUGUUUCCGUCUUCCCAGAUCCACUUUCCCCACUUAUGAUGAUGGAUUGAUUUAUUUCAUCUUCCAUUAUUUGACUGUAGGCAGUUUCAGCAACAGAAUAAAUGUGAGGACUAUCCAAGAGUUUCUGCUUGUAUGCUGUAACAAAUUUGCUCCCAUACAAUUGGAUCUCUUUGAAGGGGUUGACUGCUAUUAGAACAGGCCCUGCCUUAGUAUAUAUUCUAUCUUGAGCAUGUCUAUAUUGGAGGUUGUGAAGAACCGAUGGCUCAUUAAGAUAACAAAGUUGUCUGAGAUCAUCCACGCCCUGAAGAAUAUCUGGAUUUGCAGGUAAAAGCUCUCCAACGGGCACUGCCACAACACUGCCAUCAGAGAGCAAUACUGAGGCUUUGUCUCCAGAAGUUGAUUGCACCUGUCCUCGUUCCCACUGUCUAUUUUUCAGAUGGCACCAAACACGAAGCUUCUUUUCAAUAAAAUAACUGAUAUUGUCGUCCCACUCGUCCUCGCGAAACUUUGGGAGAGAAUAAGGAAGCUUGUUAUCAAGCUUGGCACCAUCGUUUUCCCAAAAUCUCUG
rnacentral:misc_RNA from 1 species